AUACGGUGAAUACGUUCCCGGACCUUGUACACACCGCCCGUCAAGCCAUGGAAGCUGGGUGUACCCAAAGUCGGUAACCGUAAGGAGCCGCCUAGGGUAAAACUAGUAACUGGGGCU
rnacentral:rRNA from 1 species